GGGAGGUGCCUCCCUGCAAUUUGCCACCCUCGUCCCCAACUCCGAACCGCCGGCGCGGCCGCACGGGCUCCUUGCAGCCCGGAUUUGCCGGAGAGUCCAAAUGGGUCUCCGUAGAGGAAGGAAGGGCGUCCCAGCUCCAGCCGUCGCGGCAGCAGCCGCCGAGGUAUAUAUGCCCUCCGCCAGCUCCUGCCUCGCCCUGCUCGUUAGUGUGGUAACACGGGGUUAUAUUGCUGGUAUUGAUCUGGAUAGGCUUUUGAAUUGUCUUGUGCUGCUGUGCGCUACGCUGUGAAUCGAUUAUUGGAGAAUAUAGGUUAUAGAGCAACAAUACCGUGUGUGGGUUCGUUCAACCGUGUGCAAGUGCACAAGUUAAUGGUUUUCACUGAUGCCUGACAAGUCAUCAGAUGAUGAAUUAGUCUACGGUGAGGACUGAAGAUUCUGCUUAACACUUGCAUUCUGCUGGCCAGAUGAAUUCAUGAAUGGUGCGUUGUCAUUAACGUUGUAUUAGGUCAUCAGCCUUUUUCUUGUUGGGAAUCUUUUUGGCUAGUUGAAUAGUACAAUUUGCUGCCACGAUAAAUCUAUCUUCAGUUUUUGUGUUGUUAUCUUGUGCUCGUUCUUGUGGGAAAUAUUGAUGAUACUGUUGCUAUGUUAUGCAUGCAGCCAUGAAGCUUUAUCGAAAAGUUUAUACCUCUGUUUGAGAUUUGAAGUAGGCAUGAUAUUAGAAAGGUCCAAUUUUCAGCUUCGCUCUUGCAGAUUUUUGUUGCCAAUAGUAAUAAAUGGAGAUAUGAUUGAUUGCAUAUUACAACCAAGGAUUGCAUCUUGUCGAAUAUCUAACUAGAGGUAUAUACGUAUAAGGAGUAUAUCAUACACAGACAGAGUAUGUACAACAUAACUCCAGAUAUUAAGAAACCGAAUCAGCGGUACUUGAUACACCCAGAAUCAAGGAAGUAUAUACUAGUAAGGUUUAGAUUGGUUAUCCAACUCAGAACGAUCAGUAUUCAAAAUAGAUCUAUCUAUCUAGACGUCAAGGAAGAUAACUCCCUAUUGACUACGGUUGGAUAUGAGUCGGUACCUCACCCCUAUAUAAGGCAGAAAGGUGAGGGAGGAGAGAGAAGCAAGCAUCUAGACCUAACAGAGGAGCUACUCGGCAAUAACCGAUCCUACUUUUCCAUUAAGAAAAUCCUUACAUCUGGUCGAGGAUUCGCUAAGGAAUAAGGCAGAAUGCCACAUUCCGAUGCCUCGAAAGAGAAGAGCUUGUUCAACCGGGCAGUGAUACCCUGUGCAGGCAGGUCUAAAAAAGAGAAGAAAGGUUAUUCGACAAAGCUCGAAGGUCAUAGCAAAAAGAAAAGGGGCGAAGUGCUAAUUAAGCCUUACAUCCGGUCGCGUCCUUAGAGGCAUCCUCAUCCCCACUGUUCGCGCCUUCAAGAGACUCAAUCUCUUGCUAAUAAAAUAUCUAGCCACAUGCCACCCAAUUAGGCCAAAUUGCCUCAGCAUGACAAUUCUGUUGGUGUAGUAGGUGGUGUGUUUGGAUUCUCGAUGCUCAUGUGUCCAAGAUAGAUUUUGGAUAGGGAAAAGAUCUCUAUACACUAAAAAAAAACUAUUUGGGUCGGGAUUAGAGACGUAAAAUCAAAGUUUUUUUCAACCAUUCGACCAAGAGGAGGUUAGCGGAACCAACAUAUAGGGAUUUUUCAUUCCACUCCUCAAUUGGAAACCACACCCUUCGACACAUUUAUUCUCUGUAAUCCUCUUCAGUUUAUAAAAGUACUGAAAAAGAUUUAAACUCGGCUCGAUGCCAAGGAAAGCAUCACAAAGAUGGACAAAAACACUCAGCAUGGUGACGGAGUUGGGGUUCAGAUGGUGAAGUUCAAUUUGAUAUCGAUCGAGCAUAUUGAGAAGAAAUUUGGAAGGAGGGAUGUUAAAUCCGUAACGGAAGAAAGACUCGAAAACUACAAUCUUGUGCUCGAUCUUGCAGGAAGGGAAUCUCUCACCAGAUGUCGUCCUCCAUUCAACCAGGUUGCGUGGCGGCACCACUCCUUCCGCUUCAAGUUCCGCCAGCCGAGACUCUUACAUCGCCGAGGGUGUCCAAGCCUCGAUCAUGAACCGCGCUUCAUCGUACUGAUCGGGCGAGGCGCCAGUGGCUGCUGCGUCUGAUUGCUUCUCCGACGAGGAGGAAGUCAGGAUCUUCGAAGAAGAACUGGGAUCCAUGGAUCUAAACUUCUUUUUGCAGUGGUGCGUACUGGGGCGGAGAAAGCCGAGGGGCUUGUGCAGGAAGACUGGUGGCAAUGACGAGGAAUGACUGCUAUAAGUCCGAGUCAUACGGGUAAAUAACCAAAAAUUACCGUCUCUUCGAUCACUCCCAUUUUUACAACGCUUCGACCGGCGCGAAAAGAGGAAAGAUGACAACGUGCAAAUCUCUGCUCGAAAGGUUUUUUAACUCUACUCAGAGUCGGGUGUCGAUCAGUUGAGUUCUUUAAUCUUUUUCUUCAAGUCUCGAGUGCGGUUAGCCACAGGGCGCUUGACCCGACUGAGCUUUCACUCGAUACUCGAGGAAGGAUCCGUCCAUACUCAAUUCUUUCGACUAUAAGUCUGAUCCACGUUACUCGAUCAAUCUUAAACUUGGUGGUACUCGAAUGAGCGCUUAUGGAAACCUCUCCUCCUAGGUAGAGUUAGGGGCUACUGUUGAAUAUCUAACUACGAGGUAUAUGAGCAUAAGGAGUAUAUCAUACACAGACAGAAUAUGUACAACACAGCUCCAGAUAUCACGGAAUCGAAUCAGCGGUAUCUGAUACACCCGGAAUCAAGAAAGUACAUACUAGGAAGGUUUAGAUUGAUUACCCAAUUCAGAACGAUCAGUAUUCAAAACAGAUAUAUCUACUUGGACGUCAAGAAAGACAACUCCCUAUCGACUACGACUAGAUAGUAGUCAGUAUCUCACCCUUAUAUAAGGCGGAAAGGUGAGGGGGGAGAGAGAGAAGCAUCAAGACCACAACAGAGGAGCUAUUCAGCAACUUCAGCUCUAGGUUAGAUUAGAUCCGAUCUACUCCUUAUAAUAGUCUUAGCCAUAUUACUUGUACUUGAGAUCAUCAAUAUACAACAGCAACACCCCCCAGGACGUAGGGUAUUACUCAAAUUGGAGACCCGAACCUGUAUAUAUCGUGUGUCUCGUCUCGUGAUUAAUCCCUGCACUCGAAGGUAUCCAAUCAAUUUACGGACAUAUUAUCGGGAACUAAUCUUCGACACAUCUAUCCAUAUGAUUUUUGAACCAGUAGAUAUUUUUCGAAUGAUAACCACCGGAGAAGCUUAUGUGUCAAAUAGUAAGAUAUUCAUGUUUGCCAUGAGCACUACAAACUAACUCCUGAUAAGAGGUUUGCUCGCUUGUAAAUGGAAGGUGUGCUUCAAGAAUCAAGAUAUGCCCAAAAGAUCUGCAAAUUGAUCAAGUAUUCAAGACUUUCAGCCAGAAUUAUUACGUAAUUGAUCUCUUUAGAUGAUGCUAAUUUAUUCAUAUACUACUCCCUCCAGUCCAAAAUAAGUGUCGUUUUGGGUUGCGCAGUCAAUUGUUUCAAACUUUGGCUACAAAAUACUUUUUAUAUAUUGAGUUUGAAUACUUGAAAAUGACACGGCUAGAUUUGUUUCAAAAAGUACUUUUAUAAUAGUAUAUUUUUGCUAUGUUUUAUCAAUAUAUUACAACAAAAAGUAGUAGCCAAAAAUGUAUUUUGGGGACCGUGUCGAUGUCCAAUACGACACUUAUUUGGACCGGAGGGAGUAGAUUGAUAGUCAUUGACUGUUUUCAUGUCAAGAUCUUAUACAUUUCUUACUAGUACUUGACAGCAUAUAUGUAGGAAAGUACGUGCUGCAUAAGUGUUCCACACAAGCCAUUCCCUUUUUUUUGUUUGUUUUCCUAGUUUAAUCUCCUCAAUUUAACAAGCUAGGUAAACUGUGUAUACUGUAUACCACUACUUUCUAAGAAAAUGGGUCCAAAUUAACCACCACAUUCACGUCUUAGCUUUUGCCCAGUGUGUUCACUUGGGUGUGAAUGCAGUGUCACGGUCUUGCAAAUAAUGUGCCUGAAGGCGAUGGUUUGGUUGAGCAGGUAAGAAUUUAACUGACAAGAUGCAUCAAAGUAAUCAACACGGAAAGUUUGAGAUAAUAUAUGGCAGACCUCAAUGAUAAGUGGCUAGAUCUGUAUUCCCGAAUUUUUUUUUGGCUAGAUCCAUGAUUUGGUGAAGAUGUGCACUAAGUUUAGUAGGGCAAAGCUGGGUAGUAGGUACCGUUAUGAACCCAAAAGCAUGAUUUUAUUUUGCCCUCAAACAUUACAGCAGUCCAACGUGUAAUCAGUGCACAAAUCAACAUCAGAAUCUGCCAAGAAAAUGAAAGCGCCAUCUCUUGGUUUUAUUGUCACUUAUCUGUCUAAUUGCAACCUCUCUUUCAGGGGUCUGUCCAGGUUUCUUACCCUCUUUUUGGCGGUUUUUUGUAUGCUGGUGUGUCUAUUGGAUUCCCUCGGAAAGCUAUAACUUUACUAGAGGCUAAUAUCCUCAAUCUUUUGGAGGUAGGUUUCUGAUGGGUCUGGGAACAGGUUCCUUGAUUUAUUCCAUGAAAAAAAACAGAGACCUAGUUGCAUGAAGCCAUGAACCUGUUCAUGUUCUUUUCUAGUUAAAUCUAAGUGUGAUAUGGCAGUCUUUCAGCAUGUCUCGUUGUUCUAUCUGAGAGACAGUGCGACUAAUAACUGCCGUGUGUAUUUUGUGAUUUGGCACUUCCGUUGACCUUCUUCAUCAAAAGAAUUGUUUAGGACAUUUUCAAGACUGAUCUAUACACUGGUUGGUUAGAGGCACAAACAAUACUCCAGGAUCUGUUUUACGCUCCUGCCGGAGGUGGAGCAAGACAUGGAAACUCCAGAAAUGGUAAGCCGACCCUGUUAUUGUUCUGCAGUAUUUCCAUUAGGUACGCGACAUGGACAUUCACAAUACUUCUUAUUAAGAACAUGUGGUAAACAUUACGGAUUUAUGGUGCCAUCGUCCUUGUUGCAAUUAUGUUGCAGUGUCUUGUGCUUCAUUAUAAAUCUUAUCUCUUUUAGCUAUGUACAUAUUGCAAUUAAUUGAUAGAUGCUAUUGUUCUCUCUGUAUUACCAUGUACUACUUUUGGGUUGCACAAUAUUUUGGGUGUCUAAUCCUUUAUCAACUUUCGGUUGGUCAUUUCCUUUUGAAUAUUUUCUCGCUUCACAGUAAUCUCGCUAAAUGCUCAUGGGCUAUAGUUUCGUCAUAUAGAAGGGAUCGCUCCCCCCUGGUUUCCUUCCUUAGAGAGAACCAAACAUGGUACAAUUAGUGGUUGGAUAUAGAUUUAGCGGCUACAUUCCACAGUUGGAACUCUGUAACUCAUAGAGUUGUUUAACAACGUCAACACAACAAGUGGACCUUGUUUCCAAUGCGAAAAACUAUGAAAACGACUCCGAUACGCCGCAAAUAAUUGGGAAUGGUCGAAUGGAGAACUUCCUCCCUGAAAUAAUUCAGAAACUGUAACUGUAUGAUUCAAAGCUGAGACCAUGAGCAUGGACUGGAUGAAGGACCUGCAGGGCCCGGCUGUCCCGGGGGCAGCAGCUACAGGGCGCCUCUCGGCGUGUGCACGUGCGCAUGAUCUUGUCCCCCUGGGGCUGCAUCACGCAUUCAUGCGUGUUGUACCUGUUGAUUGACUCGGUGUUCGUGGAGUCGACACAUGGAUGGCCCGGACUGUGCGGCCGGGCGAACACGGCACAUGCCCGCAUGGGAUGUGCAGCUCGCGUCGCACUGUUCAUCAGGAGUUGUUUGCUCCGUCAGUGAGGACGAGGCUUCGAGGUCUCCUCUCUCAACCGCUGCCGCUACAGUGUUGCGUAUGUUUAGUCAGACGAUUUGAAUGCCAACACCGAAGGGGCCCGGGCUCCAGCUUUAUGGAUAUGCUUGUGCUGCGGCUACAUUUCUCGCACAGAGCAUAGACAUCUUCCUGUGCUGUACCUGAAGCUUCUGAUAGGUUCACCAAAUAAACAAGUGAAGCUCUCUGCUGUCAUAUAAGCAUGGAAUUCGUUCAUCCAAGAAGCAAGCAAACAAGCAAGGGGGUGGCAAGAUGAUGGCAACUAAGGUAAUGCUUUCCUCAGGAGCAGCAAGCAUGGAGACGUGCAAUUAGGGCAUAUUCUAAGCACUACUACUACACUAAACAUCACAUGAUCACCACCAUUUGGAAAGGGACCCCUAACGACCCUUUUUAGGCCAGCACAGCAGGUGUUUGUGUCUCUAGUGGCCUGUACUACUACUGGGAGGAGGCUGAUAUAUAAAUAUACUGCCUAGUGAUCUUGAGACA